rnacentral:tRNA from 1 species
GUCCCCUUCGUCUAGAGGCCUAGGACACCGGGUUUUCAUCCCGGCAACAGGGGUUCAAAUCCCCUAGGGGUCACCA